UGAAAUACAAAAAAAAAAAAAAAAAAAAAGGAAGAACCAAGAAUAGGAAAGGAAAAAAAUGAUUUCCCAUCGUGUAAAACGAACGGAGCAGCCGUCCGCUGUGAAUUUAUACGCCGACGAACAUUUCUCGCACGCGGCUUCGGCUUACGUGUGCUCGUGCACGGGAUACGCGACCCCCGUGAUUGAUGUUGCUCAUGUGCGCCCUUAACAUGCACGUAUAUGCGCUCACACGAAGCUAUCCCAUCGGACGAACUCGCAUGCAGGGAUGUCGAAACCAGUUUGGUGCCUACGGUAAAAAUUCUAAUCGGCUGUCAGAGGGGAAGCUCUUAAGAGAAUCGUAUCGGAAUUGGAGCAGCGGCGGCGACCGGCAACUACGAGAUUUUUCUCAAUGAAAUGUCAACCCAAAGCGUUCGGCGGAACAAUAGGGCGGAUCGCUUGUAGAGAGAGGCAGUGGCCUCGGCGGUGCGGCGGAGGAGGCGGUCGGUGAGAAAAGAUUAUGAGUUCACCUACGCGGCGCAGUGGUCUAAGGCUAACAGGAAAAAGUGCAAUACACAUACAUAUUUCCU